AGUCCCGCAACGAGCGCAACCCUUAUCCUUGUUUGCCAGCACUUCGGGUGGGAACUCCAGGGAAACUGCCGGUGAUAAACCGGAGGAAGGUGGGGACGACCUCAAGUCAUCAUGGCCCUUACGAGUAGGGCUACACACGUGCUACAAUGGCGCAUACAGAGGGCGGCCAACUUGCGAAAGUGAGCGAAUCCCAAAAAGUGCGUCCUAAUCCCGAUUGGAAUCUGCAACUCCACUCCCUGAAAUCCGAAUCCCUAGUAAUCCUGGAUCAAAAUGCCCCGGUGAAUACCUUCCCGGGCCUUG
rnacentral:rRNA from 1 species